CGCGGGGUGGAGCAGCGGUAGCUCGUUGGGCUCAUAACCCAAAGGUCGUAGGUUCGAUUCCUACCCCCGCUA
rnacentral:tRNA from 1 species